GCUGUAGUUCAGUAGUAGAACAUCUGCUUUGCAUACAGAAGUCCCCAGGUUCAAUACCUGCCAUCUCCA